GUUAUUUAUAGAACAGCGUUUUCUUUUUCCUAAACAAUGUAUCUUGAUUGCAAUUCCUUUUUGACCUGCGAAAGUUGUUUGAGGUGGUCAAUCACAUUUGGACAACAUUGUAUGACAUUUUUCAUAUUUAGUAUAUGUUCAGUGAGAUAUUUAUCUAACCUUUACCCUGCUAAAUUUCUGAAAUGGACCGGUCCAUCAUUCAAUUUGGACAAUGCCACUUAUUAUUCAAGGGGUGUUCACCACUGAAAACUUACUGACUUAAUACCGAACAGUGCAGAUCAUGAUCAGUGCAGGCUGAUCUUGGUCUGCAAUGGUCGCAAAGGCAAAAUCACUUGAGGCCAGCAGGCUAAAGAUAAAACAACCAAAAGACCCUAUUUAACAGAGUUAGGUUCCUAUCAGAAAUGUAUAUUUUAUUAUUUUUAUGAAAUUUUGUAAUUACUGCCCUUUAACUAACAUGAAAGUUUUCAAAAAGUGUAGUACUGACAAUUUCUAAAUUCGCAUUUGCAUUUGAUAGCUACCAAAAGACAAGUUGUAAAACAUUGUGUAGUUGUAGAAUUCAUUUAUUUCCUGGUUUCUAUCCUGGUUGCGCAACAAAUAUAGGUAAACGGAGGUAAUAUUCAUUUUACAAAGUUGCAUUUCUAAUUAAUGUCGGCUAUUAUAUAGUAAUAAUAUAUGUACAUAUCUGACAAUAAAUUACAAUAGUUCUUAUAUUCAUUUAAUUUCAUGGGCAGGUUUGUGUAUUAAAUUUAUACAUAUGCUUAAAUAACUCUAUCUAUUGUUGGGCAACUCAGAUAGAAAAUUCAAAUGCAGUGAAAUUCUAGCAUGUAAUUAGCCUUCAGUGAACACAAAUAAGUGUAUUAAAUCGAUCAUUUGUUAAACUUUCGACCAAAUUCAUUACUAGGUCAAAAUCUGAUUAACCACCUUUAAUUAAGGAGGGCUUACUUCUUUUGUGACUAUGUAACAAGGCGACGCAAGAAUAUUUAACUUAUGGGUAUAUUACUUCUUGUGUUAGGAUGUUUCUGCAAGUAAUGCAAUACUGAUUUUUUUUUCACUCUGAAUGGUACAAAUCAACGCAAAAUGCGUUAUUUCUUUACACAAGUCUUAAAUUAUUUUUUUUUUCUAGAUUAUUCCCAUUCCUUUCAGUUGUCAUUAAAGUUGUUUACGGGUUCUUUGCAAUAUUUAUUGGUCUCAGAUGUCGUUACAAUGUUAGUGGUGACAAUUCGUUUUUAUUAUAUUUGUUUUUAAGAAUAGUGAUUUUGUCGUUGAUUCAGAAUCAAAUCAAUGUGUCGAGUUCAGCUUCGAAGGAAAGAUAUCACGAAGGCGCAAACCGAGUGAUAUAAUAUUUAAAAAAAAAAUAUCUAAAUUUUUUCGUCUAUUAAGUAAAGAAAGGAAGUCAAGUGUUGUAUAUUCUGAGCGGCUGACGCGCGGACCGGUAUGAGAACAUUAUGAUGUCAAUAAUUACAUCAAAUAGCCACAUGGAGGCCUUUUCGUUACUAUAAUGUAUGUACUUAAGCAGCAUGCAGUGAUAUUUUUGCAUAAUAUUUCUUAAGAAUGCUUUAAAACUUAAUUACUGACAAACCAUAUGUUACAGAAACACAUGAGAAUUAGUUGUUUUUUACUAAUUUUUAUGUUGAAAAUCGAAAAGCGUUUGUAACGCUUUACUCAAGGUAAAAUGCCUCAAUUAUUAAUAGUAUAUUUAACGGGCAUUGAACACUAAAUCCUCCCUAGCGCUAUUGGUAGCGACGGCGGAAAAUUUCUUUAUUGCUGCGGCGGCCCGUGUUCGAUUCUCGACGCGGUCGUCUUUUAUUCUUGAUUUGGCCUUUUUAAAAUAGUUUAGAAACAAAAGCUCAUAUUCUAAUGUUCAUAAUAUAACCAAACUUCAUUAUGAAAGAACAAUAUUUAUUUUAGCCAAACUGAUCUGGAGGCCAGUGCCUUUAAUAAUAGCUUACUAGAUAACUUAUUCACUAGCUAACUUACUAGCUCUGACUGACACUAAAAUGACAUUUAGCUGUGAUUCAGUACUUCAUACACUGCUAGUUAACACAGUUAGUCAAGUGCAUUACAUUUUGUUGUUAAUUUUCUAAAUCUACAGUUAAUAUCUAAAGAUAAAUAGUUCAGUAAAGGAUGAAAAUAGUAUUUCAUUAAAAAAUAAACUUCAACGUUUAUAAUAUCUCUGGCUUGGAAGGUGGCAAAGUUGUAUUUUUAUACAGUGAGUUAAAGACAAGGAAGAAAAAUAAGUACGGCAGUUAAAAUUUCCAUGUAUUAUUUGUUUCUAAAAUUAGAUUGUAUUAUGACAGAUUGUAUUAUGACGGAAGUAUAUUUACUUCGUAUUUACGCAGUAUUAAGUAUACCUGUAUUUGGCAACCAGGUCUAGAAUAGUAAAUAAUUCUGCCGCUACGAAAGGUAAUUAUAAUUAUAGACCACUUUCCUUCAUAAUUAAGAAAGUGUACAUGUAUAGUAUUUUAUAAUUCUAAAUAUGAAUUAAAGACAACAGAAAGUUUGUUUCAAUCUAUAAAACACUCGUGUAGUAACUACAUAAAUUUCUUUGAAAAGUGCAUAUUAUCAAUAUGUAAAACAAAAAACAAAUUUCAGAUACAUGCUCCAUUACCUGUACCCAAACAAUACGUUUCCCCUAUAUAUAGAAUAUUGUUAUCGGCGUCUAUAUUUAGAAAAUCUAUUUACAUUUCUGCCGUACUUCCGGAUAAAAUUGCAUGCCAGCAUGACGAAAUUUUGUUUGUACUUACCUAAUACAUAUGUAAUUUAAAAUUUCAAGAUACUGUUGAUAAAUCAAGACGAGGUAGAUCUACAUAUUUUACUUAUAAUAUGAAUCCAGUUGCAGAUUCUACAGAGAAUUGGAAUUUCUUACAUAUUUUAAAUAACACAGCGCCCAAUGGAACUUUGCAGGUCACAAACCUGACAGAGCAUUCAACAGAAGCUGAUACAGAUGAUGUCCACUUUGUCAUAUUGCGGUUAUUCACGUUCGCAUUAAUUGUUGUGAUCAUGUUCGGUGUAGGUCUUGGGUGUUACCGCCUCAGGAACAAUUGUAAGGAACCGGCCAUUAUUGACGACCUAUGAAUAUCAACUUAUGACCGCAGGAAGCAAGCAGUCCCAAGUCACCGACCCUAAAUGGCGGCACAAAUGCAUGGUUGCUCUUUGAUUUCCACUCUGAUGAGAAUCUAUGAUAGAGAUAUCAUCAUUGCACAUUCUACGUGUCUAUAAAUGACAAGUGGCUUCAAUGUUUUAAUCAACUGUCGUCUUCGUGAAAGCGAAUUAAAAGAACGAAUGGCAGCUAUCAAGUAUGAAUGACAGACUCGUUGUGAGAGAGACCGCAACGAAAUAAAUAAAUAAAUAAACAGAUAAUUAAACAAAUACAUAUGUAUGUAUAUGCACCAAGGGAAAACCCUGCUGGAAAAUAUGCUCAGUUUGCUGAAAUCUCUGCCAAACACCCGCAAAUGAAUAUUUUAGGACGGUUCUUAAAAAACACCGCAUUUUCGUUAUUGAGAAGACACUAAGAAAGUGUUGAAUUCACACCUGAAAGGACGGCAUACUGACCAAAGACAGAGCAAAAUCCUGUUGAUUUGAAAAAUAUUCUUUUUGCUAAGUUAGAUGCAACUUAGUGUCAAGAGAUGUUACUAAAUAUUUACGUUGAAUAAAAGUUGAUUAUUUUUUAAAAAUGAUUUGCGUUUUCUAUGCCGAUAAGUGUACGAAGAUGCUAACUAGUGUACAUGUACCAGUCAGUUGAAGGGAACAAAACCCACUGGCUUCCCACUGAGGACGAAAAACCUUGUCAACAACAAAAGUGAAAGACGAAAAGGGAGCAUAUUUUUGUGAAAAAAAGCUAAAAAGAGUUAUGGAAAUUGAAUAAUGCAUAUCAUAUUCCCACAGUUCCACUGAUAUCAGCUGGCAUACCAAAACAUAACAAAACUUGCUAUGUAGUAAAAGGAUCACUACUUAGAGAAAAGGCAAAUCUUUGCAUUUCAUGCCAGACCGUCACAGUAAAUAAGUGUAUGAAGUUUCAAUUCAUUCCCAAUAGUGGCUUCUGAAACACCAUCUUGCAUGUAAAAUCUUAGUCAAAUACUGCUUAGUCGAAAAAAAAUAUGGCACAACUUCAUAAAAGUUACAGCUGUGCAGUUUAUGUCUAAUCAUCACAGUGAGCACUCAGAUUUACCGAGACAAAAAUCUUAACCAAAACGGGACGCAGACGCAGAUCUAUGCCAACGCUUCCUAUCCUUCGAGUUUAGUUAAAAAAGAAACUAAUUAGUGACUAACAGACAUUCUCCUGACUGUGUAAAGUUGAUAAUAACCAGUGUAUUCGGUGUUUGUAGUCGGUUCUAUUUAUAGCUCGAUGUCCUUGACUUUGGAAUGAUCUAGUCUUAUUUUUGUAUUUAUUUACGUUUUAAAAUCUGCUAUGUAUAGCAUCAUAUGACUUUAACUGUGUCAGCAGAACAGGAAGUAUAUAGUAACUGCCUAUGAAUAAUAGCGGAAUCCCAUCGUUAUUUACUAUAUUUUUAUACCUUUGUAACAAUGUUUACAUUGGUUUAAAAUUUAAUCUCCAAACAAAAGUUAAUUUCGAAGAACAUGAAUAAAUUUCCUACCAGAAUUAGAUAUGAAUUUUAGAAAUAGCCUAACUAUGACUAAUGAAAGUUGCCAAAUUAUUAUGUAGUUGACAAUAAUGAUAGAUAUCCUGUAAUUAUAAACACUGAGAAAAAUAAAAAAAGUUUCUGUUUCCUGAAGUGUUCUAGAUAAUUAUAUAGUGAUUGUGUUUGAAAUCUAUGUAGUUUUAAGAAACAUCUCUGUUGCCAUAUGAUAGGAUAUAUUUUAAAGUUACUGCAAAAGUUGUUUCAGUAUUAUUUCUCAUUAUUCAUAAAUUUGUUUUGGUUUAGAGAUUAUUUUGAUCAUGUGAUUCCCCAAAGUGUAUGCUAUAAUAUAUAGAUUGGAAAACACUACUUUCAUAACAUACAUAAAACAGAUGUAAAACGAAGAAAACUUGUAUUUACUGAAUACUAGUAUUAUAAAUCCGACGAGAAUGUCUGAACUUCACAAGACUGUUAAGGUUUCUUGAAACGGGCUCCAUUUGAACCAAUGCGGGAUGCUUCUUUGAAACACAUCACAUGGAAGACCUGUUUUUUGAUUGCUAUUACCACAUUUCAAAGAUUUAGUGAUAUUCAACAGCUGAAACUGGGAGAACAAUUUCUAAAUGUUCAAAGAAACGGUAUUUCAUUUCUUCGGACUGAAUUAUCAAAAACUGACAGGCCCAGUCAUGUUAAAACACGCAUUUUUGUUCCAAAAUUUACAGGGGAUAAACGACUUGAUCCAAAAAGGGCUUUGACUUAUUAUUUAAGGAAAACAGAACAGUUCAGAUCUGACUCAGAGGCAGAUACAUUGAAAUUGUUUCUUGCAAUAAAUAAACCUCAUCGUCCAGUAUCGACGCAAACAGUUUCGAGAUGGAUAAUCAGCACAAUCAAAUUGUGCUAUGAAUUGUGCAAUAAGUCUUUAGGACAUGUUACUGCACACUCUACCAGAAGUAUUGGUCCUUCAUGGGCUUUGUUUAAAGGGGCUCCCUUGGAGCAAAUCAUGGAGUCCGCUGAUUGGUCCCGCGAGACCACUUUUGUGAAACAUUAUAUUAGACAGUUAAAUCUAGAGGUUUUAAAUGUUUAAAGAAUAAACAUUUCAACAGAUAUGUAUGAGACAGUUUAAAGGGUAAAUUUUGAAUGUUUACAGAAUGAACAUUCAAACUGAUAUAAUAUUGUGGGUUAUAUCUUCCGGCGGGCUGCUGGAAUAUGAAUUUUUCAUAUAUCAAGAAGAUUAUAUAGAUAAGUGUAUAAUGUGUACAUAAUACUAGAGAUUGUACAGGAGGGAUGUUUAUAUUAUAUGGUAUUUAUGUCAGCUUGGAUUAUAGAUCCAACAAUAACACAGAUGAAGACUCAUUUAUGACAUCCAAAAUCACGAUGUUCUCUUUAUAACAAAUAUUGACGGGGGCCAAAAUUCGAAAGUGUACCCUGCUAGCUAAAAACUGAAGAAGGCGUGGAUGUCACGUGAGGGGAAACGGAAAUGGAUCCGGUGUUAGGGUAAUUUUUCCAUUUCCGGUUUACAGCGGGCUAAAUUCCGUGCCGAACGGACAAAUCCUGAUUGUAUAGUGUUAGAGAAUGGACUCUGGAAUUGGCAAUUUGGUCAAUAACAUCGGUAGGCGUAUUGGUACAUACGGAAAAACAGAAGAACGACUACCAAAGGAUUCCAGCGCUGAAGACUGGUUGAUUCCGUUAGCCCUUUUCAUUGGGGCUCUCAUAGUUGUGGUUGUUGUUGUGUGGGUACGUUGGUGUAUUUCCCGCAAUAAAUACAAGAACCUGAAAAACAAUGUCGUUGCUGUCCAUUGGCAACCAGUCUGAAAAAAUUUCAUUGUUAGCAGUUUCUUCUCUUCUCUCUCAGCUGAAGAUGUACGUAGCUUCUAUUUGAAAUCUUGCUUCAAACACGGACCGGAGAAAGGAAACGAAAGAAAUACAAAAACUGCAAAACCAAGUUGCUAUAUAUACUAUCAUGCCAAGAAAACAGUUUUCACUUGCUCAAGACAGUAACGAAUACAACAGACAGUCGUAUGUUAGAGUGUUUGUCUUCUGUUUUUUUAACUAUUUGCAUGUACAAGCAUAUAUAAAUUUAUAGUUCAACGAGUAUGCGACAUAUGACACAAAGUUGUUCACUGACACAAAUACUGAUUACAUGACAGUUAUACAUAUGAACAUAAUUGGAGGUCAAGAGCGAUACUAUUUGAACAACAAAUACGGAACCUAUGCGACGACGCGUGACACGUUCAGUCGAGGUGCGCCACUGUAGGAGGUCAUUGUCUUUUAUGUAAAUGUACACUUUGUAUAAAAAGUAACCAUGUACAGGAAAAAUGUAUAUACUAUAAUAAACAUUGGUAAUAGGAAUAUUGCAUGUAAUUAGUAAUUUCGUAAUAAAAUACAAAGACAUA